rnacentral:rRNA from 1 species
CCCGGCGACGCUAGCGGAGAGGAUCCACCCGUUCCCAUCCCGAACACGGAAGUUAAGCUCUCCAGCGCCGAAGAUACUUGGGGGGCAACCCCCUGGGAAAAUAGGUCGUCGCCGGGA